AUUGAACGCUGGCGGCAGGCCUAACACAUGCAAGUCGAACGAGUGGCGGACGGGUGAGUAAUGUCUGGGAACCUGCCUGAUGGAGGGGGAUAACUCCUGGAAACGGUAGCUAAUACCGCAUACCAUCAGAUGUGCCCAGAUGGGAUUAGCUAGUGGGUGGGGUAACGGCGCACAAAGGCGACGAUCCCUAGCUGGUCUGAGAGGAUGACCAGCCACACUGGACCUGAGACACGUUCCAGACGCCUACGGUAGGCAGCAGUGGGGAAUAUUUCACAAUGGGCGCAAGCCUGAUGCAGCCAUGCCGCGUGUAUGAAGAAGGCCUUCGGGUUGUAAAGUACUUUCAGCGGGGAGGCGUUACCCGCAGAAGAAGCACCGGCCAACUCCGUGCCAGCAGCCGCGGUAAUUC
rnacentral:rRNA from 1 species